CAGCAGCCGCGGUAAUACGUAGGGGGCAAGCGUUGUCCGGAAUUAUUGGGCGUAAAGGGUGCGUAGGCGGCUUUUUAAGUCAGAUGUGAAAGACCACAGCUUAACUGUGGGGUUGCAUUUGAAACUGGAGAGCUUGAGUAUCGGAGAGGGUAGUGGAAUUCCUGGAGUAGCGGUGAAAUGCGUAGAUAUCAGGAGGAACACCAGUGGCGAAGGCGACUACCUGGACGAAAACUGACGCUGAGGCACGAAAGCUAGGGGAGCAAACAGGAUUAGAUACCCUGGUAGUCCUAGCCGUAAACGAUGGGUACUAGGUGUAGGUGGUUUCGAUACCAUCUGUGCCGCAGUUAACGCAAUAAGUACCCCGCCUGGGGAGUACGUUCGCAAGAAUGAAACUCAAAGGAAUUGACGGGGGCCCGCACAAGCGGUGGAGCAUGUGGUUUAAUUCGAAGCAACGCGAAGAACCUUACCAGGGCUUGACAUCCCUUGACAACCUCAGAGAUGAGGCUUCUCUUCGGAGCAAGGAGACAGGUGGUGCAUGGCC
rnacentral:rRNA from 1 species